UAAAAUAGGAGUAUGAAUUUAAUAAUUUAAUAGAGUGUGGGGUUAACUUACUAAAAAUAGGAAAAGCUAAAUAAGACUUUAAAUCACUAAAUUCUGAAAUGGUCAAAUGGGAUAUUAGUUCAUAAACAUAGAAAGUAUUUUUUAGACAAAUUAAAUACUAGUAGACUUCAUUUACUAAUUAAUACUAGUAAAUUAUAGUGGGACGGAAGGAGUACUACUAGUGCUUCUUUGAUAUAUUGGUUUUGUUGCUAUGUAUAUUGACACCGUUAUUAACGGUGUUUUAAAAACCGGACCAAUCGGUCGGACCGGUUCAGCCGCGAAUCGGUGCCAAGUCCCAAAGGAAUUCGAACCUUAUACCAACUGAAUGCUAGCCCAACCCAAUUACCACUGCACCACUUGUAUUGUUUUGACAUAACAAUCAUCUUAUUUAUACUUAACAAGUAAAAUUUCGUUUGUUUAAUAUUUAAUUAUAUAGUACUCCCUCCGUCCCAUUAAAGAUGACCCACUUUCCUUUUUCGUCUGUCCCAACCAAGAUGACCCCUUACUUAAUAAGGAAAUAAUUAAGAAAAAAUAAGGGAUUCUAAGAGUAAUUAGUUAACCCUAAUUAAUUCACUAAUUACCUAAACAUUAGAAUCCACCCACCUAAUUGACCGUCACUUCCAACUUCACUUUGGAGAAACUACCCUAGAUCUAAUCGCGAUCCCGUCCAGCGGCAAUCGUCUCCAACGCCGCCUUCCAACUUCACUUUGGAGAAACCCUAGAUCUAAUCGGCGAUCUCUUCUCCGGCAAUCGUCUCCUGCUCCGACACCACUGCUUUUGAUAAACUCUUUCAUUGUCUUUUCCUUUCACCGAUCUUCUUUAUGUUUGUGCUAAUAGCGCAGAGGACGCCACCCUCCCCGCAAUGACCGAUGAGAGCGGUGCGGUUUCCGACGGUGCCCUUUCAGUUUCCCCAAAUUUCAGGCGUAUAGGCGAUUUUUCCGACGGAGAUGAUGGAUUAAUCUAGCCGGGCCAAGUUUGACGCAGUCCAAUACCGAUUGACGGUUCGUCGGGACAGUGAGAACUUGCGUUGAGCGUCCUUGAAGAUGCCCCGAGGUGGUGUGCCGUCAACACAAGCCCCCAUAAUAAAUUGGACGACAAGAUUAAUUUUUUGUGUGGAAGACUCCUUUUUGCCCACCAUGACUUCCUUUAAAUCUGUUAGUGUUAGUGUUAGGAAGCAAUUUAAUGUUCAAAAUCUAUUUAUAGAUAUUGCCUCAUCUAUUCUUAAUUCUGCCGCCAAACUUGAAUAUUUCAAAAUGAAAUGGAUGAAAGUUAAAUAUGCCGCCAA